rnacentral:rRNA from 1 species
AUCUGGCACCUUCGGUGUCCGAGUUGUAAUUUGUAGAAGGUAACUUUGGAAUUGGCUCUUGUCUAUGUUCCUUGGAACAGGACGUCACAGAGGGUGAGAAUCCCGUGCGAUGAGGUGCCCAAUUCUAUGUAAAGUGCUUUCGAAGAGUCGAGUUGUUUGGGAAUGCAGCUCUAAGUGGGUGGUAAAUUCCAUCUAAAGCUAAAUAUUGGCGAGAGACCGAUAGCGAACAAGUACAGUGAUGGAAAGAUGAAAAGAACUUUGAAAAGAGAGUGAAAAAGUACGUGAAAUUGUUGAAAGGGAAGGGCUUGAGAUCAGACUUGGUAUUUUGCGUUCCUUCCCCUCGUGGGUUGGUUCCUCGCAGCUUACCGGGCCAGCAUCGGUUUGGAUGGUAGGAUAAUGACAUUGGAAUGUGACACCGCUUCGGUGGUGUGUUAUAGCCUUUGUUGAUACUGCCUGUCUAGACCGAGGACUGCGUCUUUGACUAGGAUGUUGGCAUAAUGAUCUUAAGUCGCCCGUCUUG